rnacentral:rRNA from 1 species
AUUGAACGCUGGCGGCAUGCCUUACACAUGCAAGUCGGACGGCAGCACGGGUGCUUGCAUCUGGUGGCGAGUGGCGAACGGGUGAGUAAUACAUCGGAAUGUACCUUAUCGUGGGGGAUAACGCAGCGAAAGCUGUGCUAAUACCGCAUACGCCCUGAUGGCGAAAGCGGGGGACCGAACGACCUCGCGCGAUUAGAGCGGCCGAUGCCUGAUUAGCUUGUUGGGGGGGUCAAAGCCCACCAAGGCGACGAUCAGUAGCUGGUCUGCGAGGACGAUCAGCCACACUGGGACGGGGACACGGCCCAGACUCCUACGGGAGGCAGCAGUGGAGAAUUUGGACAAUGGGGGCAACCCUGAUCCAGCAAUGCCGCGUGAGUGAAGAAGGCCUUCGGGUUGUAAAGCUCUUGUGUCAGGGAAGAAACACCGGCUCUAACACAGUCCGGGAAUGACGGUACCUGAAGAAUAAGCACCGGCUAACUACGUGCCAGCCGCCGCCGUAA